rnacentral:sRNA from 10 species
UUAUGCUAAAAUUUAUAAGAUAGUCCUUCUUAGCCAUCUUUAGCUCCCGGUUUUUAAGGACUAUCCAACUCAUUAAAAUGCUU